rnacentral:lncRNA from 1 species
AACUCUAUUAUGUGGAAUGAAAGAAUCAUCAAGGUAGAUCCCUUUUUUGUUCUAACAGUUGUUUGAAUAGCCAUAUGUGCUCGUCAAUUGUCUAUUUCAAGCAAAGAAAAAAUUGCCUUUAUGGUUCAUUUGAAAUGGUAAUGGGCAUUUGGUAUUCAAUUUUUUAUUUAUUAGAGCCUGCGACUUUCGUACCAAAAGAGUGGUUGUACAGAAUAAUUCUGCACAUGGUGUAAUAAGGGCUUUUUUGCAGUAACUAUGCUGAAAGUGAAAUUAUAAAACUAAAUCAAUUUGCGAAACAAUAGUGGAAGUUUGAAAAUAAAGCAAGGUUUAAGUACUUGACAAGAUUGAGUUAAAUUGAU